AUUGAACGCUGGCGGCAUGCUUUACACAUGCAAGUCGAACGGUAACAGGCCUUCGGGUGCUGACGAGUGGCGAACGGGUGAGUAAUGCAUCGGAACGUACCCAGAGGUGGGGGAUAACGCAGCGAAAGCUGUGCUAAUACCGCAUGUGAUCUGAGGAUGAAAGCGGGGGACCGAGCAGCAAUGUUUGGCCUCGCGCCUUUGGAGCGGCCGAUGUCGGAUUAGCUAGUUGGUGGGGUAAAGGCCUACCAAGGCGACGAUCCGUAGCUGGUCUGAGAGGACGACCAGCCACACUGGGAGUGAGACACGGCACAGACUCCUACGGGAGGCAGCAGUGGGGAAUUUUGGACAAUGGGCGCAAGCCUGAUCCAGCAAUGCCGCGUGCGGGAAGAAGGCCUUCGGGUUGUAAACCGCUUUUGGCAGGAACGAAACGGUGUCCGCUAAUACCGGGCGCUAAUGACGGUACCUGCAGAAUAAGCACCGGCUAACUACGUG
rnacentral:rRNA from 1 species